rnacentral:rRNA from 1 species
AGAGUUUGAUCAUGGCUCAGGAUGAACGCUAGCGGCAGGCUUAACACAUGCAAGUCGAGGGGUAGAUUUUCUUCGGAGAAUUGAGACCGGCGCACGGGUGCGUAACGCGUAUGCAACUUACCUUAUACUGGGGGAUAGCCCGGAGAAAUUCGGAUUAAUACCGCAUAUGCUCAUAGUUUCGCAUGGAACAGUGAGGAAAGAUUUAUCGGUAUAAGAUAGGCAUGCGUCCUAUUAGCUUGUUGGUGAGGUAACGGCUCACCAAGGCGAUGAUAGGUAGGGGGCCUGAGAGGGUGGUCCCCCACACUGGUACUGAGACACGGACCAGACUCCUACGGGAGGCAGCAGUGAGGAAUAUUGGGCAAUGGAGGCAACUCUGACCCAGCUAUGCCGCGUGAAGGAUGAAGGUCCUCUGGAUUGUAAACUUCUUUUGUAUGGGGAUAAACUUUUCUACGUGUAGAAAACUGAAGGUACCAUACGAAUAAGGAUCGGCUAACUCCGUGCCAGCAGCCGCGGUAAUACGGAGGAUCCAAGCGUUAUCCGGAUUUCUUGGGUUUAAAGGGUCC